rnacentral:rRNA from 1 species
UACGGGGGGUGCGAGCGUUGUCCGGAAUCACUGGGCGUAAAGGGCGCGUAGGUGGCGUGAUAAGGGUGUGGUGAAAGCCCGGGGCUCAACCCCGGGUCUGCCAUGCCGACUGUCAGGCUCGAGUGCUGUAGGGGCAGGCGGAAUUCCGGGUGUAGCGGUGGAAUGCGUAGAGAUCCGGAGGAAGACCGGUGGCGAAGGCGGCCUGCUGGGCAGUUACUGACACUGAGGCGCGACAGCGUGGGGAGCAAACAGG